CGAGAAAGCCCGCAAGGGUGAGUAAAGCGGCGCACGGGUGCGUAACACGUGGGUAAUCUGCCCUAGAGUCUGGAAUAACUCGCCGAAAGGCGUGCUAAUGCCGGAUGAGACCACGGGAGCUUCGGCUCCUGCGGGAAAAGGUGGCCUCUGUACACAAGCUAUCGCUCUAGGAUGAGCCCGCGGCCCAUCAGCUAGUUGGCGGGGUAAUGGCCCACCAAGGCUACGACGGGUAGCUGGUCUGAGAGGACGAUCAGCCACACUGGAACUGAGACACGGUCCAGACUCCUACGGGAGGCAGCAGUGGGGAAUCUUGCGCAAUGGGCGAAAGCCUGACGCAGCAACGCCGCGUGUGUGAUGAAGGUCUUCGGAUCGUAAAGCACUGUCGCGAGGGACG
rnacentral:rRNA from 1 species